rnacentral:lncRNA from 1 species
GUUUUGUAGAAGCAAAGCUCCACCUCAAGAAGCCAGAGCUCAGGAGGCAGAGAAGGCCAGGAGAACAUAACUGCACUUCAACCCUAAAUAAACAUCAGCCAAAAUUGGGGGGAGGAUUUUGGACUUGAAGGUAUGAGGAAAUUUGGAAAGGGAGAAGCUUGGAUAUUCCAAGAAAUGAAGCUUAAACCUCAAGAAAACAUUUUGAUAACUUUAAAAUUUCAAGUGUGUUCUCUCGUUCUCUUUCCUUCAGCUGCCUGGCAAGAAUGCGGACAUAAUUGUAGUUAAUUGUCUUGGAUAUGUAGAUAAAAGCAACUCACUAACGAGGAAUAAGAUUGAAAACGUCUUGUCUCCUGGUACUAGAGAGUUAACCAAGAAGUCCUGGACAACAUUCUCCUAGACAAUCAGGUGGUGUUGCCAUAUCCUUCUGAUCUUUGAAUCUGAACUGGCCUUGGUGGCUCAGUAGUAAUGAACAGACAUAAAGGAACAAAAGUGACACUGCGUGCCUUCAGAAGCUAGAUCAUUAAAAAUAGCACUGCUUUUGCUCUGCCCACUGGAGCACUCAGGCUUGGACCCAUGAGCCACCAUAGUGGAACCACUCUGAUAUUGAUAUGCUGUGAAGAAACUCAAUCCACUGAAGAAACCACAGGUAGGGGCUCUAGUUGAAAGGUCCAGUUGUUAAAUUAACUCGCAUUACCUCUUGUCCCUCAAAGCUGCCUUAAGGCUUAUUUUGGAGUCACAUUGCUAAGCCUUGGGUUUUUAUGUCCUUAAUUUGUUAAUCAGUGUAUUUUCUGAGAUUUACCAGGAAAUGCAGUUGACAGCACAGUUCCAAUAAUUAUUGGAAGAACAAGGUCAGAAGUUCAAAAAGAAAAGGAAAGAAAAAGAUAAAAAGAAAACAGAAAAGAAAAGAAAAAGAAGAAAAGAAAAAAGGAAAUCUGGUACAAAACACGGGCCAAGGGUCUUUAGCAUUCCCAGAGGGAAACUUGGACAGAAAUUCAAACAAAAAAGCUUUUAAAAAGCUGACACUGUAUUGUAUACUUAGUUUAAUGCUAAAUAUGUAUCUUUAUCUAGCAAUAAUUAAAGACUGAAGGAACAUUUUUUGUUUGAUACUUUUUGAUAUGCAUUAUUAGUCAUUCACACUUCUAUGUAUUUAGCCACUCACCAAGGAAAGCUUCUUGUGAGAAGUGUUAUACUUGAACAGCUAUAAAUUGGCUGAAUUUUUUAAAAAUGGAAAUUGAAAGAUAGCCAUCCCACCUUCACAUAGCAGUCUAAAACUGGAUAAAGCAUUAUGCUAUAAGUUUUAUUUCAUACUUAAUAAUAAAGUUGGAAUGUGCAAAUUAUUGCUACCCUACAAUUGUGAUAUAAAAUAUUCUGAACCACGUUUGACAGUCCAAGCUUUCUAAAUUUCAAAAAUUAACAUUAUAGGCACACUGACUUUCUUUUAGAGUCCAAAAUUCCAAAAGGCAAGAAUAACGUACAAAUGCUUUUGAAGUCAGAUAGAUGCUGGUCAGGUAUGAUUAAAAACAUUUUGCCUUUGUUUAAUCAAUUAAUUUUUAUAUCAUCCAAACACGCAAGCAAAUCUUUAAGAUAUGUGAUUGUUUGUUGCAUUUAUAAAUUUGUGUUUGGCUCUAAUCUGAAGGCGUUUGUAACAAAUGUGUCUCCUAAUAGAGUGGCUUUUCUUCUGGGGUGGAUACAGUUCUCCAGUGGCACCAGAGACUUCAAGCACACUGCUGACAGACAAGAGGCUGUCAGUUUAACAGAGUCCUAUCACAUAGUAAAUCAAUACGUUAACCCACAG